GUCCCCUCCCACCCUUUCCUUUUUCAUAAACAAAUGUGAUUUGUCGUGGAGCUGUUUUGUACUUGCCAGACCAGACACAAUCCCAUUAAGGUUCAAGUACUUGUACUUAUUUUAUGCAUAGAGCCCCUCAUCAUUCCGAAACACAACUUACUUAACUUUUCAAUACACGAGCUAAUGAUCAUCAUGCUUGUCAUUAUUACAGUUCAUGUUUCGUUGCCAAAUCCAAAAGCUUUCUCCACGCAAAAACAUCUCUUUCUUUCUCACAUACUUCAUCAGUAAAAAAUUCAAGAAAAGUGCUUCACUCAAUCGCUCCUUCUCAUCAACUACUAGCCAUUAAUGUUUCUACGUCUCGUUAAGUAUUUUUGGAUAUGACUAGUAGUACUUCUUAAAAAUGGUUAGUCAAUUCAAUAGAAAUUGACUUUGAUACACCGUCAGUGUAAAACAUGUUUCACUAUCAAGCAACCAUAAUCCAACAUUUUAAGCUUAAGGAGAUGUUUGAAUUGACUUAUUUAAGCUUAUUUAUUAGUAUAAAUUUUGCAAGACUGUUUGGGAGAAGUUAUGAAAACAAAUUAAGAGAAUAGCUUAUAGCUUAUACAAAAAUAAUUUAAGUUAGUUUUAUAUUUUGUUAAGGAAGUAGCUUGCUUAUAAGCACUUAUUGUGAUAAGGGCUUAUGCUAUAAGCUGAAAAGAAAAAAAACUGUUUCUCCAAACAGGCCUAAAUAUUGGUUUAGCUAAAUGGAGUAUUGAGGUUUAGUAGUGCUUUUGUCUCAAUUCAUAGUAUUUGACUUUUCAAACAUUCAAUAAAUUGAGUCAAACAAAGCAUUUAAUAUAAAGGUCUUGUUAACGAAUGCUGCCGGA
rnacentral:lncRNA from 1 species